rnacentral:rRNA from 1 species
AUUGAACGCUGGCGGCAGGCUUAACACAUGCAAGUCGAGCGGUAGCACAGGGGAGCUUGCUCCCUGGGUGACGAGCGGCGGACGGGUGAGUAAUGUCUGGGAAACUGCCUGAUGGAGGGGGAUAACUACUGGAAACGGUAGCUAAUACCGCAUAACGUCGCAAGACCAAAGAGGGGGACCUUCGGGCCUCUUGCCAUCAGAUGUGCCCAGAUGGGAUUAGCUAGUAGGUGGGGUAAUGGCUCACCUAGGCGACGAUCCCUAGCUGGUCUGAGAGGAUGACCAGCCACACUGGAACUGAGACACGGUCCAGACUCCUACGGGAGGCAGCAGUGGGGAAUAUUGCACAAUGGGCGCAAGCCUGAUGCAGCCAUGCCGCGUGUGUGAAGAAGGCCUUCGGGUUGUAAAGCACUUUCAGCGAGGAGGAAGGUGGUGAGCUUAAUACGUUCAUCAAUUGACGUUACUCGCAGAAGAAGCACCGGCUAACUCCGUGC